AUGGACUCCACAAGACCUUUGAAGGUGUCUUGUGGUAUCUGGCACCAAGAUGUUAGCAGCAGAUAUUUUAGGAUGAGAGGCAAGGCCUUCAUUGAUCUGACUUGUUUUUCUAGCACACCCCACAGACGCUUGAUCUUAGUGAGUUCUGGGCAAUCUGGAGUCCAAGUCAACACCUUGAACUAUCACUAGUCUCUCAAACCAUUCCUGAACAUUUUUUGCAGUGCACCAAGGUUCACUAUCCUGCUGGAAAG